GGGGACAAAGUGACAGGUGGUGCAUGGUUGUCGUCAGCUCGUGUCGUGAGAUGUUGGGUUAAGUCCCGCAACGAGCGCAACCCUUAAGCUUAGUUGCCAGCAUUAAGUUGGGCACUCUAAGUUGACUGCCGGUGACAAACCGGAGGAAGGUGGGGAUGACGUCAAAUCAUCAUGCCCCUUAUGAUUUGGGCUACACACGUGCUACAAUGGACAAUACAAAGGGCAGCUAAACCGCGAGGUCAUGCAAAUCCCAUAAAGUUGUUCUCAGUUCGGAUUGUAGUCUGCAACUCGACUACAUGAAGCUGGAAUCGCUAGUAAUCGUAGAUCAGCAUGCUACGGUGAAUACGUUCCCGGGUCUUGUACACACCGCCCGUCACACCACGAGAGUCUGUAACACCCGAAGCCGGUGGAGUAACCAUUUAUGGAGCUAGCCGUCGAAGGUGGGACAAAUGAUUGGGGUGAAGUCGUAACAAGGUAGCCGUAUCGGAAGGUGCGGUUGGAUCACCUC
rnacentral:rRNA from 1 species